GGCGGGGUAGCUCAGGUGGUUAGAGCGUCGGAUUCAUAACCCGAAGGUCGCGAGUUCAACUCUCGUCCCCGCUA
rnacentral:tRNA from 1 species